ACCGGCAGCUCAAGUGGUGGCCAUUUUUAUUGGGCCUAAAGCGUUCGUAGCCGGUUUGAUAAGUCUCUGGUGAAAUCCCGCAGCUUAACUGUGGGACUUGCUGGAGAUACUAUUAGACUUGAGGUCGGGAGAGGUUAGGGGUACUCCCAGGUUAGGGGUAAAAUCCAAUAACCCUGGGGGAACCACCUGGGCCAAGGGCGCCUACCGGAACCGAACCUGCCGUUGGGUACGAAAGCCAGGGGCGCGAACCG
rnacentral:rRNA from 1 species